rnacentral:rRNA from 1 species
UGGGGAAUAUUGGGCAAUGGGCGCAAGCCUGACCCAGCAACGCCGCGUGAAGGAAGAAGGCUUUCGGGUUGUAAACUUCUUUUGUCAGGGAAGAGGAGAAGACGGUACCUGGCGAAUAAGCCACGGCUAACUACGUGCCAGCAGCCGCGGUAAUACGUAGGUGGCAAGCGUUGUCCGGAUUUACUGGGUGUAAAGGGCGUGUAGCCGGGUCGGUAAGUCAGAUGUGAAAUCUACGGGCUCAACUCGUAAACUGCAUUUGAAACUGCUGAUCUUGGAGUAGUCGGA